AACGAACGCUGGCGGCAUGCCUAACACAUGCCAGUCGAACGAGACCUUCGGGUCUAGUGGCGCACGGGUGCGUAACGCGUGGGAACCUGCCCUUAGGUUCGGAAUAACUCCCCGAAAGGGGUGCUAAUACCGGAUAAUGUCUUCGGACCAAAGAUUUAUCGCCUUUGGAUGGGCCCGCGUUGGAUUAGCUAGUUGGUAGGGUAAAAGCCUACCAAGGCGACGAUCCAUAGCUGGUCUGAGAGGAUGAUCAGCCACACUGGGACUGAGACACGGCCCAGACUCCUACGGGAGGCAGCAGUGGGGAAUAUUGGACAAUGGGCGAAAGCCUGAUCCAGCAAUGCCGCGUGAGUGAUGAAGGCCUUAGGGUUGUAAAGCUCUUUUACCCGGGAUGAUAAUGACAGUACCGAGAGAAUAAGCUCCGGCUAACUCCGUG
rnacentral:rRNA from 1 species